rnacentral:rRNA from 1 species
AUUGCACGCUGGAGGCAGGCCUAACACAUGCAAGUCGAACGAGUGGCGGACGGGUGAGUAAUGUCUGGGAAACUGCCUGAGGGAGGGGGAUAACUAAUGGAAACGGUAGCUAAUACCGCAUACCAGCGGAUGUGCCCUGAUGGGAUUAGCUAGUAGGUGGGGUAAAGGCUCACCUAGGCGACGAUCCCUAGCUGGUCUGAGAGGAUGACCAGCCACACGUGAACUGAGACACGGUCCAGACUCCAACGGGAGGCAGCAGUGGGGAAUAGUGCACAAUGGGCGCAAGCCUGAUGCAGCCAUGCCGCGUGUAUGAAGAAGGCCUUCGGGUUGUAAAGUACUUUCAGCGGGGAGGCGUUACCCGCAGAAGAAGCACCGGCUAACUCCGUGCCAGCAGCCGCGGUAAUAC